AGGUAAGAGAUACAAUGUAGAUGGGUUUGAAGAAGUAUAAAUUAUGUUUUAGUGACGCGAGUCUAAUGUGUUUAUGUUGUCAACAAGGCUGAUGGGUUUCAUUACCGUCAGCCUUGGGUUAUAGGUGUGCAGGAGGAGAUCGAAAGUCUGCGUAGGCGGGUGGAGAAGGCUGAGCAGGUGAUCAAGUUGGUGCCCAAUCUCAAUAAACAUAUCGACACAGUUGAGGCAGAGGUUAACCGCCUCAGUUUGGUGGUUGAUAACCUCACUGCUGAGAUUUAUUCUCUCACUGUGCAGGUAACAAAUCUGGAGAAGGUCUGCUUCGAAUAAAAACCUUAAGGUAAACACUCAAGCUUAACUAAGCUUAACUGAACUGAAGUAUUUAGCUUGCUCUGCUGAAUGAUGUGAUGAAUGUUGAACUAGAGGUGAACUGAACUAGGUAGAGUAGGUAACUGAACUAGAAAGUGAAGUGAACUAGGUAGACUAGGAACUGAAAAAACAUUAAUUAUCAGUUGGUUGGUUGCUCUGAUGAAUGUUGUGUUGAAUGCUCUCUGUCUACUUCUUGUACUAGUUUUUUAAAACAGAUUUGAUGUGUAAUGAAUGCCGUUAGAGAACAACUUGUUGUGUAAUUAACUUUAAUGAAUUUUGGUAGUUAGACUUACUUUAAUUGCUCUCUCUUAUCAAAGCACAAUGGUAGUUUAAAAACAUAGUUAGAAGUAAAAAAUCUGAAAACCAAAACCACGUUUAAAACCCCACCCCAAACCAAAAUGGAACCGUUUUCUCUAGAUUCUCCCGGGUUUAUGAACCUUUUAUCUUCCCAGACCAGUCAACCCAUAGACGUAGGGUCCAUAGGCGUAGGGUCUUCUACUGUUCCAAAACCGUUGGAAAGGAAAAAGUGACAACACAAGAAGACAUUGUUCUGAUCAGUGCUUGGUUGAACACCAGCAAGGAUCCGAUAGUUAGUAACCAGCAGAAGUUACAAUGGGACAAGGAAAAAAUAGGAAGGAUUAUGAGAUGUUGUGUUAUAUUGCACAAUAUGAUAGUCGAGAACGAAAGAGACGAAUACAAUCAAAUUGAUACAUCAGAGUUCGAGUCGGGAGAGUCAAGCACAAGUUCCCAGGUGCGAAGAAGAGAAAGUUUGAAUGUCCAUAAUAUGCUUGGCAUUCGCACUGAAGUUCGAAAUUCAGAUAAACAUGAUCGUUUGAAAGCUGAUCUCAUCGAAAAUAUCUGGCAAAUGUUUGGUAAUGUAGAUGAUUGAUCGUUGUAUGUUCAUGAAUUCUCAAUGUAUUGAAUAAAUUUCUUUUAUAAAUAUAUUAGUUAAUGUAAUCAAUUCUUAAUGUAUUGAAUAUUUUAAAACUUAUUAUAUUUUAUUCAUUUAUUUUCAAUAUAGUGAAAAGAUUUAAAAAAAAUAUAUAUAAUAUUAUUUUAUUUCUAUGAACCCCUUCUGCAGGUUCACCAAUGCAGGAACACAAUCGAUAGAAGUUCACAACUAUUUAUGAUCCCACCAAAAAAAUAAUAAAAAAACCUUAUAAACCACGAGAGGGGGUUCACCAAUGCGGAUCCCCUAAUACUCCGUCCAAAGUUUCUAAACAAACAACCGUUUCUUAGUUUUUACUUCUUUUCUCACCUACGGUUUCAUUUUUUAUUAUAAUUUUAGUUUAGAACUUUUUGUGAGAAAUGCACGAUAAAAGCAGUGGCGGAACUAGCAUGUAACUAGGGUAGUCAAUUGACCCAUGUGAAAAAAUAAUUCUUGUAAUUUCCUUCUAAAAUUUUGAUGAAAUGCUGAAAAAUUAACUUAUUGACCUUUGUGAAUUGUAAUUGUUAUUAAAUUGAUCUUGGUUAAUAUAAAUCAAGCCUCCGCCACUGGUUAAAGGUGCUCUAAGCGGCUAAUUAGGACAUAUGGACUGUAAUAUUUAUUUUCAACAUUCUUUUUUAUCCUUUAGGUUUAGGGUCAUAAAAACUUCACUAUGUUUGGCCCCGUACCGAAUGGAAUAAGCAAAGGCUGAACCGCUCACUUGCAACUUCAUCAAAACCAACAGUAAUCCACGAAAUAUUUUCACAUUCAAAUUGUUUUGGGUAAACUUCUAAAGUUCGUCCUAAAAUAAAUAAUAAAACAAAAUAUAUAAAUUGUUGCGAAAGAAAAAUGAACUAAAAAUCCUUUAAUUUCUCACAAGGUCCCCUCUUCAUGUGGUAACCGUCGGUGGCAGGCAUCACUUUUUACGCACUGUGUGAGACGUGGCCCCAAAUGCUCCUCAAAGGCCUCAUCUCCUAAGAUUCUUUGUUAAUAUUUACAUUUUGUAUCAGAUUCGUUUAACUCGCUUAUUAAAUUAUUCAGAAUGGAAAAAAAAGUACUCAGAACUCAAAAGGACAAUAAAUAAUACAUUAAAUUUUAGGGGAUUCGGGACUUCAAUUCUCACCCUACUCUUAUCCUCUUGGGCGGCACUGUUAAUGGAUCUUCUCAGCCACAAAAUAUGCAGUAGGUUUCUUUAGAAAAAUGUAACGCUAGUUAUUAAAUAUUGUGAUGUUAUUAAUUUUGUUUUGUUGUCAAUAUGAUAUGAUCCAUAUCAACAUGGGGAACUUAAUCAAUGAGAGAAAGACCAUAGUGAUGUUCUUACCUCUCUCAUGCAAACUGAGACAGUGCCAAGUGGAAGCCAAAUGCCAUCUUCCUCUUCUUAGAGAAGGUCACAGGGAACAACAACGCUACACAAAGUAUAUACAAUGCUUAAUUUACUAGUGCAUGCCUUUUCCCCAUGUCUUUUGAAUCAUGUAUUCAUAUAUAACCAUUGUUCUCUUUCAUCAUCCUAAUAGAUCAUUUACUGCA